rnacentral:rRNA from 1 species
GAUGAACGCUGGCGGCGUGCUUAACACAUGCAAGUCGAACGGAAAGGCCCAAGCUUGCUUGGGUCCUCGAGUGGCGAACGGGUGAGUAACACGUGGGUGAUCUGCCCUGCACUUCGGGAUAAGCCUGGGAAACUGGGUCUAAUACCGGAUAGGACGAUGGUUUGGAUGCCAUUGUGGAAAGUUUUUUCGGUGUGGGAUGAGCUCGCGGCCUAUCAGCUUGUUGGUGGGGUAAUGGCCUACCAAGGCGUCGACGGGUAGCCGGCCUGAGAGGGUGUACGGCCACAUUGGGACUGAGAGACGGCCCAGACUCCUACGGGAGGCAGCAGUGGGGAAUAUUGCACAAUGGGCGCAAGCCUGAUGCAGCGACGCCGCGGGGGGGAUGACGGCCUUCGGGUUGUAAACUCCUUUCGCUAGGGACGAAGCGUUUUUGUGACGGUACCUGGAGAAGAAGCACCGGCUAACUACGUG